rnacentral:lncRNA from 1 species
GAUGGGAUACUUUCUGGGUAAGGAAGUGGAGAAAUUCUGGAGCGAUAUCUCUGGUGGAGGGAGUCAGGAUCCUUCCACUCAGUUGUCCCAGGUUAUCCACAACCCUGCUAUGAGGUAUUUCCAGAUGAUACAUAUCUCUGGUGGAGGGAGUCAGGAUCCUUCCACUCAGUUGUCCCAGGUUAUCCACAACCCUGCUAUGAGGU